AUGGACCUCACCGUGCUCCACUGUCCCUUGUGCCUCCACCCCUUGACGCCUCCGGUGUAUGAGUGCAAGGGAGGGCACCUGGCCUGCACGGACUGCCGCGUCGAGCUCCCCGGGAACCAGCGGCAGUGCCAGAAGUGCGAGCGUGGCGGUGGCUUCGACGUGCGGAACACGCUGAUGGACACCGUCGUUUCAUCGCUGAGGCUGGAGCGCCCGCAUGAAGGCUGUGGGCUCUAUGUCACUUACCACAAGCUCGCCGAUCACCAGAGCGUGUGUCCGUUCGCGCCCUGCAAAUGCCCUGUGCCCGUGUGGCUACGAAGGCCCUCCACCGGCGCUCUACCACCACAUCAGCAACACACAUCCCAUGCCCGUGCACAGGAUCCAGUACGGCAAGGUGCUCCAGCUGCAAGUGCCAUUGUCAGAGCCACGGCUGGUCGGCGGCGUGCUCGACAUCGGCGCGCCUAUCACUGUGUCGGUGGUAUGAAUCAGAGCGUGGGCAUCCCCACUGCCGCACUACAUGGCCAAGUUGUGGGCGAACGGCCCGCCGGGGGAGCCCAAACGCACGACCGACGCUGUCAAGGUGGAAAUGGAGGUGACAAGCAGCAAGGAUCCCAGCGAUGUCGACGUGCAGGAGAUGACCUUCUUCACAGUUCCGCCCAAGCUGCUGGCCGGGGCUAA
rnacentral:rRNA from 1 species